rnacentral:rRNA from 1 species
AGUGAACGCUGGCGGUAGGCCUAACACAUGCAAGUCGAACGGCAGCACAGUAAGAGCUUGCUCUUACGGGUGGCGAGUGGCGGACGGGUGAGGAAUACAUCGGAAUCUACUUUUUCGUGGGGGAUAACGUAGGGAAACUUACGCUAAUACCGCAUACGACCUACGGGUGAAAGCAGGGGAUCUUCGGACCUUGCGCGAUUGAAUGAGCCGAUGUCGGAUUAGCUAGUUGGCGGGGUAAAGGCCCACCAAGGCGACGAUCCGUAGCUGGUCUGAGAGGAUGAUCAGCCACACUGGAACUGAGACACGGUCCAGACUCCUACGGGAGGCAGCAGUGGGGAAUAUUGGACAAUGGGCGCAUGCCUGAUCCAGCCAUACCGCGUGGGUGAAGAAGGCCUUCGGGUUGUAAAGCCCUUUUGUUGGGAAAGAAAAGCAGCAGGUUAAUACCCCGCUGUUCUGACGGUACCCAAAGAAUAAGCACCGGCUAACUUCGUG